GGGGUCCUUUCCCUUGGCCGCUCGGCCCAAGGUGCCUGCGGAGCUCGCGCGGGCGCGGGUCGGGGGGCGCCAUGAUGGUGGGCAGGACCAGCGCCAUCGCCGCGGGGCUCUGCGGGGCGCUCUUCAUCGGCUACUGCAUCUACUUCGACCGCAAGAGGCGAAGCGACCCCAAUUUCAAGAACCGACUGCGGGAGCGAAGGAAGAAACAGAAGCUUGCCAAAGAGAGAGCAGGGCUUUCCAAGUUGCCUGAUCUGAAAGAUGCUGAUGCGGUUCAGAAGUUUUUCCUUGAGGAGAUUCAACUUGGCGAGGAACUGCUAGCUCAAGGUGAAUAUGAAAAAGGUGUUGAUCACUUGACCAAUGCCAUUGCUGUGUGUGGACAGCCCCAGCAGCUACUACAAGUUCUACAGCAGACUCUUCCACCACCAGUGUUUCAAAUGCUUCUAACUAAGCUCCCUACAAUAAGCCAGAGAUGUGUGUGGCACUCUGAAGAAUCUGUCAAGAUGAAGUCUCUGCUUCUGCAAGCUCACAACCUGCGGUCCUGAUCCCGUAAUUUACUCUGCAUGGUCCUUUCCUCAUGGAAACCUAAGCAGUCAAGAGCAGGACAUUGGGACAGUGACACAGGAAGGGAGAAGGUGCUCUCAGACCCAGGAGAUGAGGCCAUUGUUUUACCUGAACACAUACCAUGGGGACACACCAUGGGUUGGGUGAGGGAUGCUGCUCUCCCAGGACCUCUUGCAACACAUUGUCUUGGAGAUGUUUCAUAAGGCAGGGAUGAAUUCCCCCCCUUUGGACUCGUGUUGCCUCCCACAGUGAACUAAACAUUCACAUGUCAUAUCCUGUUCGAGGAGUUGUUUUAAUGGAUGCGCUGCCAACAAAGACACUUGGGUUUCGAUGGCUGAUCCUUUGCAAUUGUAACGGUAUUUAAUGAAAGGUUUUGUCUUUGGAA